CACCUCCCGCGAGCCUUCCCGCUGCGGAGCAUGCUCGCGCCUCCCGCGAGUCCUCCUGUGGCAAGGACGAAUAUGACAUGGAUUUUGUGCGGAGCAUAGAGAAUGUCAACUUCUACUUUCACUACUGAUCUGUUGUUUCAUAUCGUAAGGUUGAUCUAUAUACUGUUGCUCGGAGAAAGAUGACCAACUAUCAUACUGUUGUUAGUCGUAAGAUUCUCCAUAGUACGACGGUUGUUAAUACGAUGAGCUUCACUUUGUGUAGGCUUUAUUGCAUCUGUUCAAAAUUAUCCAUUGUCUUACCCUUUCCUUUCCGUCCAUAAACUUGAUCAGUAUCUUGUCGAGCUCCAAAAUCUCAAUCUUGGGUGGCAUGUGUAAAAUACUACUCCUCGGUCCAUGCACCACCAUCAAAUUGUGUAGACGGGACCAUUGACUCCCUGGUCCUCCACCAUCAUCGGUCGAGGCACUAUUGUCCAAGUCACUACUAUGUCUCUAGAUCGAGCGGGUUUGUUAAAUACGAUUGCAAAUGUGUCUUGUCGCCCAACUUGAUUCUUUCUAACGAUGCAACUAAUGCUGCUGCCUUACCCUUUGCCUUUGCCUUUGUACGUUGGACGGAUAACUACGGCAGUUGGGUGUUUUUAGUUUGUAGAGUAGUCUAACUUGAAGAUGUCCGACUCCUUCCGCCAUGUUCUGACUGAGGGGGAUCUUCCUUGGGUUGGGAUGUGCUUCCUCUUUUCCUAUUGCCUCAAUAAAAUGCGAAGGACGUUGAGGAUCUCCCGUCUCAUCAAGUAGAAGAUCCUCUUGGUUCUUCGUUUCUUCGACCCACUCUAGAAUCGGCUCUUAAUCUUUGUUGUAUAAUUGGAGGUUGAUGGGAUUAAUCUUUGUUUCCUUUGGCUCCUUGUCCAGCUCGGCACAUCGCAACCUUAGCUACAUGUUAUAGUAGAUAUAUACUAGUUUCUCCAACCGCCUAUACGAUAGCUUGUUGUAGUCCUUCGUAUGAAUCAAUACGAACAUUGACCAAUUACAUUCGUAAUCACUAGAUGUUGUCGUCUACGAAAGGACACGGAUGACAAUCUUCCUUAAAUUUGGUACAUCCCCUCUAAAAUGCAGCGACCACUUGAUUGCAAAAAGAUGCAAAUAAGACUUUAUUAACAUAAUAAAUAAUUAAUAUCAAAAUUAGUUUAUAAUCCAUAUGUGUGUAAUUUUUCCUCACCAGGAUCUAUAUUAUAACGACAUGAUAUAGUUACAACGUUGGAGAAUGAGCCAAUUGUUUCUUACAAUAAUUAGCUUUUCAUAUUGCAUUGAUAGUGUUUGAUAAGAGUCAAUAUAUAAUAUUUCUUUGUGUCGAUAAUAAAUCUGAUCGUGUUCUAAGACUACAUCGAAAUUGAAUGGUUGGAUUUAGAUUAUAUGCUGCAAGACAUAAUUUUGUUAGUGAGAAUUUUUUAAAUAUUAAAAAAUAAUGAAUUAAAUUACACUGAAUAUGAAUUUAACUACAUUAUGGAUAUCUUUGUCCAUGUGAACUUCAGUUCUGUGAUCAAUGAUCUGUAAGUAUUGGUUGGCCUUAAAAUCAUCUUUGAAUGCUUUCUUGACCUUCUCUCUUGUUGUAAUCAACAUAUGUCUAAGAUAAAACAUUUGUGGAUGCGUGUCCAUAUCUAUCUUACGGAGAACAGUGUAAAGUGGUUCCACACCUUUCAUGAUUUCAUUCAUGAUAUCCCAAAAUCUAAAAGAAAGAAUAGUCUUUUCUAUCUUUUUUACAUAGCCCGAUCUCGAAUACCUGGAAUCGGACCAUUCAUGUUAGGCCCUGCCUCUUUUAUUGUAUUGACUUUAAAGCAAUGAAAUUUAUUGUAAACCGAGUGACUACAGGUUUGAGUAUCUCACCAUUUAUAUACUUUUGCAUUAAAGAGUGGACCCAUUGAUGAUAUAUAUAAACUUUGUGAUCGACUAUGCUCGAGCUACACGCUUGUUGACUAAUGGUAGCUCGCCAAUAUCCUUCAACAUUAAAUCCAUACAAUGAGCUGCUUAUGGAGUCCAAAACAAUAUUUUUCUUUUUUCUAUCUAUUAUAAAUCGAUCUUCUUGAAAUUGGCUCCAUUAUCGGUGAUUAUAUAAACAAUGUACUAUGGUUCGAUCUCGUCUACUAUGAUGAUACUUGUCGAAAGUAUUAACUGACUUAUGAAAAACCACUAGUCUAUUGCAAUAAACAAGAAAAUUGAUGACACUUAUUCUUGUUGACCCUGUCCAACUAUCAUACAUCAAUGUUACCCCAUAUUCGUCCCAUUGCCUCUUGAAGGAUUUGAUCCAGUCAUUCAGUUCUGCCACCUCCUCAUCUAAAUACACACUGUGGAUCUGUUUCGGUGUUGGAUGCUGGAUCCCCGUGCCAGACUUUUGAGCCUUAGGUUGUGCUUGUUAGAAUCCUGUAGAAGUUGAACCAUUUUGCAAUAGCCUUCCCAAUAUUUUGCCUAUUUUCAAACGGUCAAUUUGAUCGUUUGAAUUAGGCCAAUCUUAGUCCUUGAUCGAUAAUGGUUUAAAUCCGACUGUUAUCGACUUGUACAGGUUGGUAAUGGUCCCCAUUGAUCAGUGAUUUCAAUAGGCGCUCGGGCGCUCCCCUAGGAGCUCGGGCGAGACGAGGCGAGGCCCGAGUGCCACGCUUCAUGUCCAGGCGCCUCGCUUCAAAGAGGCGCCACUUGGGCGCUCACUCGAGCCCAGGCGUCGGGCGCUUCGGGAGAGCGCCUAGGUUAAACCAAGCGAUCGAACCAGAUUUUUAGGUCUGGUUGGUCUCCGGUGCUUUAGUUGGUUCAAUCGAACCAACUAAAUCACCGAUAUCAGGCUCCCUCUCGUGAUUUCCCCGACUUCCUCAACCCUAACACUCGCGAUUUUGUCAUUGAGAUUUCUUCUCUGUUGUUGUUGCUCUCUACUGUCGAUGCCACUAUCCCUGCUCGCUGCUGCCACAAUCACUGCUCGUCGUUGCUACAAUCGUUGCUUGCUGCUGCUGUCGUCACUUGUCGCGGUUGUCGCCACUCCCGCUGCCGCUCAUAGCUCCCGCUUCCACUCCCCCUAUCGUCGUCGCUCAUCGCUCCCGCUUCAGCUACGACUGUUACUUGCUACCGCUACUGCUACCACUACCACUAUCGUUACCUUAGCCUCGGUCUUCUCACACUCUUCUCAUUAUACUGUUAACAGUAUAUUAACAGUACAUUGCUAAUUGUAUACUAAUAAUAGUAUUUUUAUUUAUUAGAUUAAUAAUUAUUCUUUUGAUUUUAAUACUAUUAAUUUUUAUUUAUUUAAUACUAUAUUUUUUAUUUAAAAAAUAAAAAAAUACUAUUAUGGUUUAUUUUUUAUUGUGAUAUUGUACUCGAUUUUCUUAAUUUAAUAGCAUAUUUUUAUUUAAAUAAUUAUAUUUUUUAAUUAUAUUAUAUAUUUUUAUAUUUUAGUGCCUUGCUUCGCUCGGGCGAGCGCCUAGCGCCUUGGGUGUUUUUGGACCUUAGCGCCUUUUGGCACCUAGCGUUUUUUAAAUCACUGUCAUUGAUACAAUACCUUAAAUCAGCAUGGUCAGACUACAAUUGCUUCGGAAAAUAUCAAGCCAACCCUAAAUAGUUGGAAUAUUAUGGCUUGUUUUUGUACUUGUGGAUUGUUGUACUUGUGUGGUAAUCAAGGAUUUUACAGCAAAAUGUGGAUACAAGAAUCUUGGUUUAAUGAGAUUAAUAGUGCAGUAACUUUCUAUCAGAUGCAUUCUGGAGAUUGCACAUCCUAAAAUUUGGUGUAUAUGUUUGAACUUUUCUCAUGCGUGUUUAGCAAUUUGUUCUCAUCUGUUUUCUACUGCAUGGGUGGAUUUAUUUGCUUGAUAUCUGCUGAUUUAUUUUGUGUCAUUCUUUCCUUUGAUUUACUGCUGGGGUUUUUAAAUGGUGUCUCUAACCUUUUUAGGUGUAUUUCUUCUUAAAAUUAUAUGUAAGAUGAGUAAUUUGAAAAGUCAAUUUAUUUAUCAUUUACUGCCAAUACUCUUUUUUUCCUCUAAAUUGGUUUGGUCAAUUGCCACAGAUGCGAGCUGUAUCCUCAGAGUUAGAGGUCCUUGGUAGGCAUCAACACCCAAAUUUAACUAUUCCAUUUCUAAAGGCUGUGGGUGAAAUUGCAAAGGCAUCACAAACUGAAGCAUCUUCUUUGCCAGAUCAGACAGAAAUAUUUAGUUCACAAGUCAGCUCCAAGAUUCUUAUGAUGCAAAAAUGGAUUAAUGAGAAUCAUGUGGAUAGUAGCUCCUUCUCCAUGUGUACCGAAUCCCAGGCUUAGAAAUUGGAUCUGUCAAUUUUGAUGAUGUUAGUCUUCACUUGGAAUAUUGGGAGGAAUUAUUGUUUUAGUUUAAUGAGAUGAAAAGAUACAGAAGAAUUGUUGGAUCUCUUGUUGGAUCAUGCUUAAAAGCUGCAUCACCACUUGUUUCUUCACAGAAAGAAUCAGCUUGUCUGGUGUCUCUGGACAUUUAUUGAGGUACUUGCUUGAUAUGUUUGUUGAUAAAACAUUUUUGGCCAAAUGAAUCUCUUUCUAAUUCUCAUUCUGCUGUUGCAAAUACUGUUUGGUGUUUAAUUGUCAGAAGGCAGCUCAAUGCACAGGCACCCAUUAAUGCAGGUCUGGGAAGGGUCAAUUAUGCAGUUCUUUCUUUCAGUCAGGGAGAAUUAAAUUUAGUCUUUCUCAAUUUAAGUUUCUACUAUAUAAAGGGAAAACACAAAUUAAGCUCAGCCAUUUCAGUAUUUAUUGUGAUGUGAGGAAACCUCUUAGUUACCUGUGUUUAAAGUGAAACCUUACAAGUGACUUAAAAGAAAAAAAAAUCUGGAUUGAAAAUAAGAAAAGAACAAAGGACAGCACAUGUUGCCUCACAAGUAGGAUACCUUUUCAUGUUGAUGACCCUUUUCGUUUGUUUAGCAUUUCUUUGUUUGAUAGCAGUAUUUUCAAACUAAUGGGGCUAUGUAAUUUUAGUGGAAAAUUAAUUGAUUACUUAUUCAUAUACGGCAACUUGGAUUUCUGAAAUUUUUUGACGUGAGGAUACUUGGGUAGAUGGCUUACCAUUAUGUACCUAUCAGAUACCUUAUUCAUUAGAUAAUUUUUUGGUACAAGUGAUCUGUGCUUAGUCUGUGAAUUCAAAAUUUUUUACUACCAUUCAUACGCUUUAUGCUUUUCAUGGAGUGUAUUUUGCAAAUGGUUCUUCUUACGAAUGACAAGCUAUUAAUGAUGGAUAGAAUGAUUACUGGCUACAUAAUGUAGUUUGCUUGUCAUUUGCAAGGUUAUAAAGUUGGACAAAUUUUGAAGUCUAUGUUUACCUAAAAUCCAAUGAUUACAAACUAGAAAUUAUUUAAGCAAUAGGAACAUGUACAUUGCCAUGCAGAUUUUCGAUUAUGUAGGUCCAAAUGAAGGUUUUUUAAAGCUUUAUUUUCAUUUGGAUCUGUUAUUUUAGAUGUUUAUUUUUGAAGAAAGUUCAUUUGGCUCUGCUAUAAUAGUCGUUUAUUCUGUGACUUGUUCUGGAUUAUUGUAACAGGGAAGCCAUUGUUUUGCUAAGUGAAAGGCUUGCAUUUACCAUCUCUUUGUUCUUUAUAUAACUAUAUGCUUGUCAAGGAUUUUAAGAUGUCGACCAUUUGGAGAUGUUACUGUAUUAUUUCCCUAAAUCAUGUGUUUCGUUGUGGCUUUCAGUUUCUAGAAGUGCCACUUUUAUUGGGGUAGCAACCAUGAAAAGUCAGAACAUGUUCUGAAUGUUGUUAUAUGGUUUAAUUGGGAAAAUGAACUGUUCUGAGUAUGAUUUCAAGUUUGUCAUAAUUUCCUUGGUGUAGGAUACUUUGGGUCAUGGGUACAAUCCAAGCAUGGGCCAUGCUGCUUGGUUUUUGGUAUGUGGGGGUAGGGAUAAUGUUGACUUUUUUGGAUUAGUUCCUGAUAGUUCUGUUGCUUUUCGGUCGUGUUCACUUAGUAAGUUGGGGUAAGACAUCUUGAUCUUUUCACAGCAUUUAACUAAAUGCUUUUUUUCCCAAAAAAAGGUAAGAGACAUGAAAACUUGAUGGUUCUUAAUUUUUGUUGAUUUAAGCCUUUUUUUAAUGGAUUUGAAGUGUAAUAUAUCAUAUGAAUUCCAUUUUUGCUUAGAUGUUCUCUAUUUAUAAAGCCGAAUAAAACUUUGAGAUUGGAUUUUUAAUUUGUUUAUCUUGUCGUGUAUGAUGGCAACCUGGAAAAUACAGUAUUGCAAAACAGAUCAACAACCUGCAUCAUAAUUUCAAGUAGUAUGAUCAAAGUAAAUAGACAGCAACUUCUUGUUGGUGUCUUUUUCUCAACACUCCUUUUCUCUUUCUGGAAUAAUGUUGUAUUUUGCAGAGAACAAAAUUUCACAUUUAUUCCCAAGGUCUCAGUCCAUUGUCUUAUUACUUUUAAGCAAGUCAUUUAGGACUAUCAGUUUAGCAGAUUCUGCCUGUAAAUUGCUGCCCUAAAAAGGUGUUACUGGUUAGACUGUUGCAACAAAGCAAAUGUUAAUGGAAGUCUUGGUUUCUGUGCCAAAAUCAGUUGAUAUGGUAGGAAAUGUGAACCCUCUUCUCCAUAUUAUUAUUGGUUAUGUUUGACAAUUGUGUGUUGGUUUUGAACCAUUGCAUAAUAUGUUUUCUUUGUUCAACUAAAUAAAAUAAUUAGAUGUAUACUUUUGUUAGGGGCUUGAGUGGUAAAUAUCUUAUUGGAAAAUAGUAAAACAAAAUCUUUCUUGUUAUUCUCCUUAGAUUUCAGUUGUUUGUACUUUAGAGUAAGGCAUUUUUUUGUAGGAUGUUUCUGUAUCUCUUGCAAAAGUGGAGGAAGCUUAUAAGCACGGGAAACAAACCAAAGCAGCAAUCUGGGAAGCAGUUCAGUUGCUAUCACUAAAUGAUCUGAAAGAUGGGAUGGAGGCUGCAGAUGAGGAAGCUGACGAGAACAGAGUGCUUCCAGCAAUGAACAUAAUCUGGCCUUAUUUGAUUCUUUGCCUUAAAAAUAAGGUUUCAGUGGUAUGAUAGAUUUUUUUUUUUGCUAAUUUAGUAAAUCUCUUUGGUCUUUUUUCCGUUAACAUUUAGUCUAUUCUGCGACAUCGUACUUUGCUCGAUUGUCUGAUUUAUGCUGAAGCUUCAUAUAUAUUUCUCAUGUCUUGGGAAUGGGAAUGGAGUGGUUUACAAGAAAUUAAAAAAGAAAAGACAGAGGAGAAUAAUGAUAAUAUUUAACAAUGAGCUCAAGUACCAUAUGAUCAAACGCAUACUAGUCUUGAGUGUAGAGAUAGACAUUUUAUCUAAUCCUUCUUGCUUUAUUUGAUAAUGAAGUUGUAACAAUUGUUAAUGCUUGACAGCUCCAAUAACACCAUAUUUUGUUUGAUGCUUUAGUGGAUUAUGUAUGAUUAUGCAUAUAGGACAAAAGGGGGGUUUGGAGCUUUAGGGCUUAUGUAAUGAGAGAGUUAAGAGGUAGGAUAAUUGGGGGAGAAAUAAGAUAGAUAUUAGGUGGAUAUCUUGGAUUCACUCAAGUCUACCAAACUCACUUCAUGGGAAGAUUGUUGACAUCACAUCACACUGUAUUGUUGUCACAAGAAAUUAAAUCAAGUUAGUACAAUCAUAGGAUACAUGCUCAUAAAAACUAUAAGUAUUUUAAAAAUGUUAAGAAAUUAAAUGGUUGUUCUGAAAGUUUGGUGUCAGAAGGUGUUGAUUUGGUUUUGAAACUUUGCCCAAUUGCAAAAAAAUAAAAAAUAAAAAUAUUUGGGCUACUGAUAGGCCAUGCCAAUGUGUAUUGUGUAUUGUGUCUUAUGCGGUGGUGUUGGAGCAUUUGAUACAUAUAUGAAUAUGGAGUGUUGGUACUUCCAAGUUGAAAAGCCUUGACAUGUGGCUCCAUGUUAUUUUGGACUUUUAGUAACCAUUAAAGGAUUUAUGCUAUUAGGGUUCAAAUAUUGUCUUCUGAUGUUUCUAACUUGCUGUAUUUAGCCAUUAAAGGACUUCUAACUUGAGGAAAGAAUUCUUCUCCCUUACCGAAGUAAUUCUAUCACUUCAGAAGAACCUAUGGCUGAAGUCUCCAGCCAAAAAAUCCAGUCUGCAGUAUUGGACAUGAUUACCAUGAUAUGUUCGGACAAGAGGACUAGUUCAGCAUUACAGACAGUCCUGAAGAAGGUUAGUGGUAUUGUCGUAGGUAUUGCUUGCAGUAGCAUGUCAGGUCUCAAAGAUGCAUCUCUAAGGGCAUUAUCAGGACUUGCUUGCAUUGAUUCAGACCUUACCUGGCUUCUGCUUGCCGACGUCUACUAUUCCCUGAAUAGAAGGGGGAUGUUAUCCUUCCACCAUGUCGAGAUCUGGCGGGGAUUUCUGAGCUGCUUCCUGCCGCAUCAUCCAAAAAGGAAUAUUUGUUUGUGAAUUAUGCAGGAGAAGAUUUAGGCCUUGAUAUAGAUCCUUCAUCCGUGGAGGUAGUAUUUAGAAAGAUGGAAUCAGUAGUUCUUUUAUGAUAACAUUUGUACAGUCAUCUGUAUCAUGUUGAAUGUACUCUGUAAAUUUGUGGGAGAUGUUAAGAAUCACUGAGAAUGUAAAAGGGCAUUAGAUGUCACUUUGCACAUGGUAGUUAUAAGAUUAUGUUACAUGCGGAGGCUUUUAGUGCACGUUUCCCAAAUGUUCGAGGCAAUGUUUUCAAAGGGCAUUUUCCUUUUCUAGCAA